rnacentral:lncRNA from 1 species
UUACAUUUGUUAGGUGCAUCCAUAAGUAGGUAGCUAGCUACGUUCCUAUUGCGGACAUGACCUUUAAGUUUGGCAUCAAGAACGAGAAGGUAUAAAGGCUUUAGGAUGAGGGAGGUGAAGGCACAUCCCAAAGAGCUAAAGCUAGUUGGAGCUCAUUGCCAUCUAGGCUCUACCAUUACAAAGGUAACUCUGAUUGUACUUGUGGAAUCAUGCUCUAGUAUUUAAGUCUUUUCACAGGUGUAUAGACUUAACGGUAACAUGCUAUAGAACGGUUAAGGAUUUUCUCAUCUGGACAAGAACAUGAUUAGGUUUGUCUAAAUUUUAUAUAUCACAUUUCAUGAUUACAACUUGGUCCCCUUCAAUUACCAAAUAUUACUAAUGUGCUUAUGAUUGUUCUAAUCAGUUUUUUUUCAUUGUCUUUCAUGUAUAGGUGCACUUUCCAUGGAAGUGGGAAGCUUUUGGGAGAUUUAGUUCAUAUUUGCUCAAGAAAGUGUUUUGGUUAAUAUUGACAGUGAUAAGUUUGACAUGAAACUGUUGUGGAAGCUUCAAGAAUUGCUGGUAAGCGUAUCAAUGUACUGUUGCGUGCAAUCCUCAGGUGUGGUUAAAUUUCUUAUGUUUAUAACAUAAUUUUUCAACACCGCUUGGUUAUGAGUGAAAUUUUUGAGUUUGGUUACACUUGUUAGGUGCAUCCAUAAGUAGGUAGCUAGCUACGUUCCUAUUGCGGACAGGACCUUUAAGUUUGGCAUCAAGAACGAGAAGGUAUAAAGGCUUUAGGAUGAGGGAGGUGAAGGCACAUCCCAAAGAGCUAAAGCUAGUUGGAGCUCAUUGCCAUCUAGGCUCUACCAUUACAAAGGUAACUCUGAUUGUACUUGUGGAAUCA